UUAAGCGACUAAGCGUACACGGUGGAUGCCCUGGCAGUCAGAGGCGAUGAAGGACGUGCUAAUCUGCGAAAAGCGUCGGUAAGGUGAUAUGAACCGUUAUAACCGGCGAUGUCCGAAUGGGGAAACCCAGUGCAAUUCGUUGCACUAUCGUUAACUGAAUACAUAGGUUAACGAGGCGAACCGGGGGAACUGAAACAUCUAAGUACCCCGAGGAAAAGAAAUCAACCGAGAUUCCCCCAGUAGCGGCGAGCGAACGGGGAGCAGCCCAGAGUCUGAAUCAGCUUGUGUGUUAGUGGAACGGUCUGGAAAGUCCGACGGUACAGGGUGAUAGUCCCGUACACCAAAAUGCACAGGUUGUGAACUCGAAGAGUAGGGCGGGACACGUGGUAUCCUGUCUGAAUAUGGGGGGGACCAUCCUCCAAGGCUAAAUACUCCUGACUGACCGAUAGUGAACCAGUACCGUGAGGGAAAGGCGAAAAGAACCCCGGCGAGGGGAGUGAAAAAGAACCUGAAACCGUGUACGUACAAGCAGUGGGAGCACCUUCGGGUGUGACUGCGUACCUUUUGUAUAAUGGGUCAGCGACUUAUAUUCUGUAGCAAGGUUAACCGUAUAGGGGAGCCGCAGGGAAACCGAGUCUUAACUGGGCGUUAAGUUGCAGGGUAUAGACCCGAAACCCGGUGAUCUAGCCAUGGGCAGGUUGAAGGUUGGGUAACACUAACUGGAGGACCGAACCGACUAAUGUUGAAAAAUUAGCGGAUGACUUGUGGCUGGGGGUGAAAGGCCAAUCAAACCGGGAGAUAGCUGGUUCUCCCCGAAAGCUAUUUAGGUAGCGCCUCGUGAACUCAUCUUCGGGGGUAGAGCACUGUUUCGGCUAGGGGGUCAUCCCGACUUACCAACCCGAUGCAAACUACGAAUACCGAAGAAUGUUAUCACGGGAGACACACGGCGGGUGCUAACGUCCGUCGUGAAGAGGGAAACAACCCAGACCGCCAGCUAAGGUCCCAAAGUCAUGGUUAAGUGGGAAACGAUGUGGGAAGGCACAGACAGCCAGGAUGUUGGCUUAGAAGCAGCCAUCAUUUAAAGAAAGCGUAAUAGCUCACUGGUCGAGUCGGCCUGCGCGGAAGAUGUAACGGGGCUAAACCAUGCACCGAAGCUGCGGCAGCGACACUAUGUGUUGUUGGGUAGGGGAGCGUUCUGUAAGCCUGCGAAGGUGUGCUGUGAGGCAUGCUGGAGGUAUCAGAAGUGCGAAUGCUGACAUAAGUAACGAUAAAGCGGGUGAAAAGCCCGCUCGCCGGAAGACCAAGGGUUCCUGUCCAACGUUAAUCGGGGCAGGGUGAGUCGACCCCUAAGGCGAGGCCGAAAGGCGUAGUCGAUGGGAAACAGGUUAAUAUUCCUGUACUUGGUGUUACUGCGAAGGGGGGACGGAGAAGGCUAUGUUAGCCGGGCGACGGUUGUCCCGGUUUAAGCAUGUAGGCUGGUUGUCCAGGCAAAUCCGGAUAAUCAAGGCUGAGGUGUGAUGACGAGGCACUACGGUGCUGAAGUAACAAAUGCCCUGCUUCCAGGAAAAGCCUCUAAGCAUCAGGUAACAUUAAAUCGUACCCCAAACCGACACAGGUGGUCAGGUAGAGAAUACCAAGGCGCUUGAGAGAACUCGGGUGAAGGAACUAGGCAAAAUGGUGCCGUAACUUCGGGAGAAGGCACGCUGGUGUGUAGGUGAAGCCCCUGCGGGUGGAGCUGAGACCAGUCGAAGAUACCAGCUGGCUGCAACUGUUUAUUAAAAACACAGCACUGUGCAAACACGAAAGUGGACGUAUACGGUGUGACGCCUGCCCGGUGCCGGAAGGUUAAUUGAUGGGGUUAUCCGUAAGGAGAAGCUCUUGAUCGAAGCCCCGGUAAACGGCGGCCGUAACUAUAACGGUCCUAAGGUAGCGAAAUUCCUUGUCGGGUAAGUUCCGACCUGCACGAAUGGCGUAAUGAUGGCCAGGCUGUCUCCACCCGAGACUCAGUGAAAUUGAACUCGCUGUGAAGAUGCAGUGUACCCGCGGCAAGACGGAAAGACCCCGUGAACCUUUACUAUAGCUUGACACUGAACAUUGAGCCUUGAUGUGUAGGAUAGGUGGGAGGCUUUGAAGCGUGGACGCCAGUCUGCGUGGAGCCAACCUUGAAAUACCACCCUUUAAUGUUUGAUGUUCUAACGUUGGCCCCUGACCGGGGUUGCGGACAGUGUCUGGUGGGUAGUUUGACUGGGGCGGUCUCCUCCCAAAGCGUAACGGAGGAGCACGAAGGUUAGCUAAUCCUGGUCGGACAUCAGGAGGUUAGUGCAAUGGCAUAAGCUAGCUUGACUGCGAGCGUGACGGCGCGAGCAGGUGCGAAAGCAGGUCAUAGUGAUCCGGUGGUUCUGAAUGGAAGGGCCAUCGCUCAACGGAUAAAAGGUACUCCGGGGAUAACAGGCUGAUACCGCCCAAGAGUUCAUAUCGACGGCGGUGUUUGGCACCUCGAUGUCGGCUCAUCACAUCCUGGGGCUGAAGUAGGUCCCAAGGGUAUGGCUGUUCGCCAUUUAAAGUGGUACGCGAGCUGGGUUUAGAACGUCGUGAGACAGUUCGGUCCCUAUCUGCCGUGGGCGCUGGAGAAUUGAGGGGGGCUGCUCCUAGUACGAGAGGACCGGAGUGGACGCAUCACUGGUGUUCGGGUUGUCAUGCCAAUGGCACUGCCCGGUAGCUAAAUGCGGAAGAGAUAAGUGCUGAAAGCAUCUAAGCACGAAACUUGCCCCGAGAUGAGUUCUCCCUGAGACUUUAAGUCUCCUGAAGGAACGUUAAAGACGAUGACGUUGAUAGGCCGGGUGUGUAAGCGCAGCGAUGCGUUGAGCUAACCGGUACUAAUGAACCGUGAGGCUUAACCUU
rnacentral:rRNA from 1 species